AACGAACGCUGGCGGCGUGCCUAACACAUGCAAGUCGAACGAGAAAGGGGCUUCGGCUCCGAGUAAGUGGCGCACGGGUGAGUAACACGUGGGUAACCUGCCUCUAAGAUUGGGAUAACUCGUCGAAAGAUGAGCUAAUACCGAAUAAGACCACAGUUCCCGCGGGAACAGGGGUCAAAGGUAGCCUCUGCUUGCAAGCUAUCACUUAGAGAUGAGCCUGCGCACCAUUAGCUAGUUGGUAGGGUAACGGCCUACCAAGGCAAAGAUGGUUAGCUGGUCUGAGAGGAUGAUCAGCCACACUGGAACUGAGACACGGUCCAGACUCCUACGGGAGGCAGCAGUGGGGAAUAUUGCGCAAUAGGCGAAAGCUUGACGCAGCAACGCCGCGUGAGUGAUGAAGGCCUUCGGGUCGUAAAGCUCUGUCGGGAGGAACGAAUGCUCCUGAGGUUAACAGCCUCGGGAGGUGACGGUACCUUCAAAGGAAGCACCGGCUAACUCUGUG
rnacentral:rRNA from 1 species